rnacentral:rRNA from 1 species
GACGAACGCUGGCGGCGUGCCUAAUACAUGCAAGUCGAACGCUUCUUUCCUCCCGAGUGCUUGCACUCAAUUGGAAAGAGGAGUGGCGGACGGGUGAGUAACACGUGGGUAACCUACCCAUCAGAGGGGGAUAACACUUGGAAACAGGUGCUAAUACCGCAUAACAGUUUAUGCCGCAUGGCAUAAGAGUGAACGGCGCUUUCGGGUGUCGCUGAUGGAUGGACCCUCGGUGCAUUAGCUAGUUGGUGAGGUAACGGCUCACCAAGGCGACGAUGCGUAGCGGGGCUGAGAGGAUGAGAAGCCACAAGGGAACUGAGACACGGGCCAGACUCCUACGGGAGGCAGCAGUGGGGAAUAGUGGACAAUGGGCGCAAGCCUGAGCCAGCCAUACCGCGUGGGUGAAGAAGGCCUUCGGGUUGUAAAGCCCGUCUGUUGGGAAAGAAAAGCAGCAGGUUAAUACCCCGCUGUUCUGACGGUACCCAAAGAAUAAGCACCGGCUAACUUCGUG